GCCCUUCCUACGGGAGGCAGCAGUAAGGAAUAUUGGUCAAUGGAGGGAACUCUGAACCAGCCAUGCCGCGUGCAGGAUGACUGCCCUCAGGGUUGUAAACUGCUUUUAUACGGGAAUAAUUGUGAGUACUUGUACUUAUUUGAAUGUACCGUAUGAAUAAGGAUCGGCUAACUCCGUGCCAGCAGCCGCGGUAAUACGGAGGAUCCGAGCGUUAUCCGGAUUUAUUGGGUUUAAAGGGUGCUUAGGCGGCAUUUUAAGUCAGUGGUGAAAUUUAUAGGCUCAACCUGUAGCUUGCCAUUGAAACUGGGGUGCUUGAAUAGGUUCGAGGAUGGCGGAAUGUGACGAGUAGCGGUGAAAUGCAUAGAUAUGUCACAGAACACCGAUUGCGUAGGCAGCUGUCCAGGUCUUUAUUGACGCUGAAUCACGAAAGCGUGGGUAUCGAACAGGAUUAGAUACCCUGGUAGUCCACGCUGUAAACUAUGAUAACUCGAUGUUGGCGAUAUAUUGUCAGUGUCCAAGCGAAAGCGUUAAGUUAUCCACCUGGGGAGUACGUUCGCAAGAAUGAAACUCAAAGGAAUUGACGGAAGGGC
rnacentral:rRNA from 1 species